rnacentral:rRNA from 1 species
GACGAACGCUGGCGGCGUGCCUAACACAUGCAAGUCGAGCGGAGUCGAUCGACGGAAGCCUUCGGGCGGAAGAUGGUUGACUUAGCGGCGGAUGGGUGAGUAACGCGUGGGCAACCUGCCUCGAAGACCGGGAUAACAGCCCGAAAGGGCUGCUAAUACCGGAUGUGGUCAAGGAUCCGCAUGGAUUUUUGAUUAAAGGGGAAACCCGUUUCGAGAUGGGCCCGCGUCCUAUCAGCUAGUUGGUGAGGUAAAAGCUCACCAAGGCGACGACGGGUAGCCGGCCUGAGAGGGUGACCGGCCACACUGGAACUGAGACACGGUCCAGACUCCUACGGGGGCAGCAGUGGGGAAUCUUCCACAAUGGGCGAAAGCCUGAUGGAGCGACGCCGCGUGAGCGAAGAAGGCCUCGGUUGUAAAGCUCUGUCUGGAGGGACGAAGGAAGUGACGGUACCUCCGGAGGAAGCCACGGCUAACUACGUGCCAGCAGCCGCGGUAACACGAGAGUA